AACGUGAUCGCGAACGCCAGUUUGAGCAUGAACGUCAAGAACGAGACCUAGAAUUAAAGCGUCUCGAACUUGAAUUAGCUUCCAAGUCGGUCCUGUCUGUCGAGUCGCAAACCCCUGUUUUUGAUGUCAGCCGACAUAUUAGACUGGUGCCUCCAUUUUCUGAGGACGAGGUGGAAAAAUAUUUUAGUCACUUUGAACGAGUAGCAACAACUUUACAGUGGCCUCAAGUUGUUUAGACGCUGCUAUUGCAGUGUGUUCUUGUGGUCAAGGCUCAGGAAGUUUACUCUUCACUUUCUUUGCAGCAGAGCUCUGACUAUGAUGUGGUAAAGACUUCAAUUCUGAACGCGUACGAACUUGUCCCGGAAGCGUACCGUCAAAGAUUCCGGAAGUCUAGGAAGGGUGAGCAACUUACGUAUGUGGAGUUUGCCAGAGAGAAAGAAGCUUUGUUUAACCGGUGGUGUGUUUCCAGUAAGCGCCCUUUCAAACUGGAGGUGGAUGCCAGUGCUGUUGGAGCUGGGGCUGUGCUGUUACAGGAAGAUGCGGAUUGAGUUGAUCAUCCCAUCUGCUUCUUCUCAAAGAAGUUCUUAAAACAUCAGGGUGGCUCCUCAUCAGCCAUGAUUGGACUCCUCCCACUUCCUGCAGUGAUUGGUGGGCUGUAAUCAGGAAGAGGAUUCAAAAUGGUGGCUGCUUUGGUGAAGAAGAGAGUUGGUGAAAAGAGGAGGAGAGUGUUUGCGGAAGAGAGGACUUUGUUGGUGAAGAUAGACUGUUGGUAGAGAAGAAUGUUGUUGGUGAAGUGAAGGAUUAGGACGAGAAGAUAAGACUUAGACUGCCCAGACCUGUUUUGUGUUUCUGUUGUUGUUUAAAUGUCUUUGUUUGUAAUAAAAGAUUAGCAUUAAGUGUUGUUGCGUUGUUUUGGAGUUUAUACUCAUAUGUCCCAUUUGUUAUGUCCCUGACCCUAGACCGGGGAUGUAACAGUGUUCAUUCAUAGUUUUGAUGCCUUCAGUGAGAAUCUUCCAGUGUAAAUGGUCAUGAAAAUAAACACAUUGAAUGAGAAGGUGUGUCCAAACUUUUGGCCUGUACUGUAUGUAGCUGUGUGAGGAAUACAUAGUGUAUGCGCAAGCUAAUAUUAUAAUAAGGACUGUGCAGAGUGCAUUGCCAUUGGCCGUCUUGCCCAGCUGGUCCACCCACGGGACCACAGCUCUGGACCUUCAGUCAGAACAGUGAAAUUGGAUUUUACCAUCCUGGAAAAAUGGCAGGUAGCACUGAGUCAAUCCAUUAAAAUAGUAAAUAGAAUAACAACUCCUGUUAACUUCUUAUUCGCAGCUCCUUAUUAGAAUUGUCCAUUCCACCUUAAAUGUUGUUUAUCAGGCUGCAGUAUCCAUAUUAUGGGUAGGUCAGCUUGCCUUACAGUCAGGAAAUCUGUUUUAGAAAUGAACAUUAUAAAGAAUAAAGAAUGUUUUAAAUCUGUAUGUAGUGAUGAUCUCUGUGUCCACUCUAAAUUUUGAAAUAUUAAAAAUAUUACCACUUAUAAUAUAUUAUAAUAUUACCAAGCCGGCCAAUGGCAAUACUC
ensembl:lncRNA